GCAGCUGCCGUCGAGGUCGCCAGCCCCUCCCCCAGCAUGUUUGGGCUAAGCCGCCUCCUUUCCGCCAGCGUUGGAGAGAGAGGUACCAGAAGGAGUGAAAGGACUGGGGCUUGUCUCCAUGGCAACUGAAAGAAAGAGUUCUAGAGUCUGGGAAGUCCAAGAUCAAGGUGCCAGCAGAUCCAGUGUCCAGGGCGGGCUCCCUGCUUCAGAGAUACAGUGCCUUCUGACUACAUCCUCACAUGGUAGAAGUGACAGAGGACUCCCUCACGCCUGUUUUAUAAGGUGCUAACCCCAUUCAUGAUCUCCACCCUCAUGACCUAACCACCUCCCAAAGUCCCCACAUCUUUAUUUUAUUUUAUUAUUGUUUUGAGAUGGAGUCUUGCUAUGUCACCCACGCUGGAGUGCAGUGGUGCGAUCUCGGCUCACUGCAAUCUCCACCUCCUGGGUUCAAGCGAUUCUCCUGCCUCAGCCUCCGAGUGGCUGGGAUUACAGAUGUACGCCGCCACACCUGGCUAAUUUUUGUAUUUUUAGUAGAGACGGGGUUUUACCAUGUUGGCCAGGCUGAUCUCAGACUCCUGGCUUCAAGUGAUCUGCCCCCCGCCAGCUUCCCAAAGUGCUAGGAUUAUAGUCACAAGCCACCAUGCCCAGCCCACCUCUUAAUGCCAUCACUUUGGGGGUUAGGUUUCGACAUAUGAAUUCAAAGGGGACACAUACAUUCAGACCACAGCACUGACUCAGAUUCCCUGCAAAACCCUUGAGAGUUUCAUUUUUGUCAGAUUUAUUCUCUAUAGGCUCUAAGUAUUAUUCCUCCUCCCCGAUUUAGUUAUUAUAAACAGUACAUAACUGAUCAGAUUAACACCUGUCCCCUUGCCACCCCUAAUGCCUGCCCCCGUUCAUGUUCCAGGAACACUCCAUUAGACCACCCCCUACUGUAUUGGUGGGUGGUGGGAGGGGGCCCAUCGGGUGGGGUCUUUGCUGUAUUAUUCUGUGUCACUGAGGCCUAUCCCAAUGCUCUGCACACGCAGAUGCAAAUAUCUGUUGUAUGAUUAUAUAAAACAAUGAUGUGAAAGCCUAUUUGUCUGCACCACACCUCAUGAACGUCCCCAACCACUUGAAGGCACUCAUAGUGUCUUAAUCAUCUCAGGCCUUCAAUCUGGCAUAGGGAACUCCUUUAAUAAACAAUGUCUGCUAAGCCAAAUGGCUUCCUGAGGCCUGGCAUUUUAGGCUGUGUCCCCUGCCCCACCUCACCCAGCCUUGGGGCAUUGAGCCUGGCUGGGCACACACGUGAUAGUUGUAAUCAUAUUGUCACAACAUCCCUGAGACUAUAUUAAUUACAUAUUGAGUGUUAUAGUACUAUUAUAGCAGGUGGCAGAUCUUGGCAUACUGGGCAGGGAUGUGUUGGUGUGAAAAUCUCUCUGUAUUUUAGAGACAGGGUCUCCCUCUGUUGCCCAGGCUGAAGUGCAGUGGUGCCAUCAUAGCUCACUGUAACUUCAAACUCUUGUGCUCAAGUGAUCCUCCCGCCUCAGCCUCCUGAGUAGCUGCAACUAUAGGCACGUACCACCACACCCAGCUAAUUUUUAAAUUUUAUGUAGAGAUAGGGUCUAGCUGUUACCGACACUGGUUUUGAACUCCUGAACUCAAGCAGUCCUUCUGCCUUGGUCUCCUAAAGUGCUGGGAUUACAGGUGUGAUCCACCACGUCCAGCCAAAAUCUCACUUUAAGUGGGGUCCCUGACUCCAUACAGGUGAUAGGCUGUGGUUCACAGGCAUAAAGAGCAUCCAGCCUGGGGCCCCGGAGCCAGAGUUUUCCCUCCCAUUGUCCCCCGGGUCCUUCAUCCCUCCUAAUCUUGCAAACCAGCUGUCAAUUGGGUUGAGAUGGUAUAUCUUUCAUAGGGUCAUUGUGGGGAUUAAAUGAGUUAAUAUAUGUAAAGCACUUAGCAUAAUGCCUGGCAGACAGUAAGGUAUGGAGUACCUUGUAACCCUUAUUAUUGCUGUUGCUGUUAGCAACAGAGUGAGGAAUGCUGGGAGUGACCAUGCCCAGCACCAAAUGAGGCCUUCAUAGCCUUGGGCUAAAGGAAAAAGAGUAGAAAGGUGAACACAGGGAGAGGACUCAAUUUCAACACAGAUGCAUUAGACCAAGAACUCUGGAUUCACUUUCCCUGGAGGUGGGGGUGCUAUCUGCUGCUUAAUGGAGCAUCAUGGAAAAUGUGGGUCUCAAGGCCUGAAGGACUCCAUUCCUAAGAGAUGGAAGCAGGAGACAUGCUACAGAGUUUGAAUCUUGCCCAACAGGGGGAUUUCUGCCUGCUGGAAGGGCUCUGUCAGGGCCUAGUGGAAGCCCUUGCCUCAGUGGGGCAGACUGCUGCUGGACACACCUAUCAUUCAUCGUCACCUCUCUGGGACAGUAGUAGCAGCCAGGCACCUCCAAAGAGCUUGACAACAGAGGAACCCACUUCAGCCCCUCCUCCUAAGACAGGAUCCAGCGCUACUCCAGCUCUGAGUUGGUUCAAGGACAGAGACAUCAUCCACAGAGGCCACAAAACCAAGAGGUGGAUGCCUCAUUGUUACUUCAUGCUGCCUGGAAGCAAAGAGAGGGCCUUAGGCACAAAAUCCUCCAGACCGACGCCUGCCCCUUGGCUUUCUCAACCCUUCACUCUCCAACUUCUAUAAAGAACCUGUACAGUGGCGAGGCACCAU